ACUGUAUGACGAUAGUAAUAUACUCAUUACCAGAAGAAAGACUUUAGCUGACGAAAAUAAAAAAACUAGGCCGACAAAUUUUUUUUUCGUCAGCUAAAGUCCACGUUAGCCGACGAAAUUUUCUUUCGUCGGCUAAAGAAAUUUUUUCGUCAGCUAUACUAUACUUUAGCCGACGAAAUUUUUUUUUCGUCGGCUAAAGUAUUUUAGUAGACGAAAAAAAAUCUCAUCAGCUAUUAUCCGUCGGCUAAAAGAAAAACAAUAAAAUGUUGUAUAACUUGUUUAGUAGGUUUUAAACAAAUACACAACUUUGUGAACCAACUUUACAUAGAAGCAAAAUUAACAAAAAUCUCGUGAAAUAAGAUGUGUUCAGAACGGUGAAAUACGGCUAUGGUUCAAAAAUCACGUAAAUCGGGUAACGUCUCUGAUGUAGAACAGUCGAAACCCGGUAUACUGCAGAUUUGGCAUUCGGUGUCCGAUUGACUAUUAUGAUACAUUUCCGGAAACAUAACGGCCCUACGAGUCAAACUCAUUGCUAUGCUAUGAUAUAUGGGUCUUUUUGGCCCUCCGAGUCCGUUUAGGGCUUUAAAAUGCAGUUUUCUUAUUUCCGAUUAGAGUUAACCGUUUCGAUCGAGCCCUUAACGUUGUCGAAUCCAGUUGAAUUUUUUACCGUAGAUAUCUUUCGUCAUAAUGAUCAUAUCUGACGGUCAAAUUUUGGUUUGUGAAUUUUAGUCAUCGGAAUCACGUGUCUACUAAUGUUGUAUAACUUGUUUAGUAGGUUAUACAAUAUAGGAAGCAAAAUUAUCAAAAAUCUCGUGAAAUAAGAUGUGUUCAGAAUGGUGAAGUACGGCUAUGGUUAAAAAAUCAUGUAAACUGGGUAACUUCUCGGUGCCGAUAGUAGCGGUCAACCCUAUUUACCGUUAUUAUUCCCUAUGGGGAACCCUAUCGUCGGAAGGUAAAUGUCUCAAAAUUUUUAUAUGGGCAGUUGCGUCUCAUCUACGUGAGAGUUUUUCAUGUGGAAAGUUUGACCAAACUAUGUAAUAUAGAGGGAGAUAUGAGCGUUUUCGUGUGAUAAGUGACGAUGGACUAAGGUUGACCGUUUCGAUCGAGCCUUUAACGUUGUCGGAUCCAGUUGAAUUUUUUACCAUAGACAUCUUUCGUCAUAAUGAUCAUAUCUGACGGUUGAAUUUUGGUUUGUGAAUUUUAGUCAUCGGAAUCACAACGUGUCUACAAAUGUUAUAUAACUUGUUUAGUUGGUUAUAUAACUUUGUGAACCAACUCUACAUAGGAUGCAAAAUUAUCAAAAAUCUCGUGAAAUAAGAUGUGUUCAAAAUGGUGAAAUACAGCUAUGGUUCAAAAAUCACGUAAAUCGGGUAACAUCUCGGUGCCGAUAGUAGCGGUCAACCCUAUUUACCGUUAUUAUUCCCUAUGGGGAACCCUAUCGUCGGAAGGUAAAUGUCUCAAAAUUUUUAUAUGGGCAGUUGCGUCUCAUCUACGUGAGAGUUUUUCAUGUGGAAGGUUUGACCAAACUAUGUAAUAUAGAGGGAGAUAUGAGCGUUUUCGUGUGAUAAGUGACGAUGGAUUAGGGUUGACCAUUUCGAUCGAGCCCUUAACGUUGUCGGAUCCAGUUGAAUUUUUUACCAUAGACAUAUUUCGUCAUAAUGAACAUAUCUGACGGUUGAAUUUUGGUUUGUGAAUUUUAGUCAUCGGAAUCACAAUGUGUCUACAAAUGUUGUAUAACUUGUUUAGUGGGUUAUACAACUUUGUGAACCAACUCUACAUAGGAAGCAAAAUUAUCAAAAAUCUCAUGAAAUAAGAUGUGUUCAGAAUGGUGAAAUACGGCUAUGGUUCAAAAAUCACAUAAAUCAGGUAAUGUCUCGGUGCCGAUAGUAGCGGUCAACCCUAUUUACCGUUAUUAUUCCCUAUGGGGAGCCCUAUUGUCGGAAGGUAAAUGUCUCAAAAUUUUUAUAUGGGCAAUUGCGUCUCAUCUACAUGAGAGUUUUCAUGUGGAAGGUUUGACCAAACUAUGUAAUAUAAAGGAAGAUAUGAGCGUUUUCGUUAAUUUAUAGACUUUAGCUGACGAGAUAUUAAAAAAGUCGUCAGCUAAGGUCAAAAUUUUUUUGGCGGUAAACCAAAUUUGGAGGAAAAUUUUCAAAGGACUUUAGCCGACGAAAAUAUUCAAAAUCUCGUCGGCUAUUGUAAAAAAAUUUUCAAAAUUUUCAACUAAAUUUUUUUGGCGGUCAACCAAAAUUUUCAAAAGAGUUUAGCCGACGAAAAUAAAUAAUUUCGUCGGGUAAAGUUCUUUAUAUAGGAGUUUUACCGGAGGUGGAUGGUAAGAAGUCAGAAAAUCAGAAAAAGUUCCGGAUUUUCUUCUCGGCCUAGCUCCGCCGUCAAGCAACCGGAGACCGCCACACUUGUCUCAAAAGCUUCGCCGUCGUCUCUACUUCAUUGCUGGACAGGUGGUGCAUCGAGUGGCGCCGCCGUGAGGGAUAAAACGAGCUCCAAAACUCCGCCGGUUCGGAUUCGGUGUCGAUCGAAUUUCUCAUUCCUCAGGUCACCAUUUGGUGAGUUCUAUAUAUGGAUAAGUUGAGUUUGAUUAGUACUACAUUCCCCUAGAAUUUGGUAGCUCGAUUCGGUGUGUGUGAGGAGAAUCAAAGAUUUGAAGUUUUUAGGGUUUAAAAUUGGGGAUUUUUAUAUUUGGAUUCAAUUAACCUAUUUAGGCUUAGAAUUAGGCUUCGACUUCUUCUAGAAAGUUGUUCGAAAUGUUGAGAGGAAGAUUUUGUCAAAUUUUGGUGGUGAUUGGAGGUGGCCGAAAGUUUCCGCAGUUUUUUUUUCUUUCAAAAACCAGCAACUUUAGCCGACGAUAUUUAAAUACUAUAUUCGUCGGCUAUAGUAUUUUUUAAUUUUUUUAUAGGGUUUAGCCGACGAAUUAUGGCAUGUUUCGUCGGCUAUAGUUAUUUUUUAAUUUUUUUUUAUAAGGUUUAGCCGACGAAACAGACUAUAUUUCGUCGGCUAUAGUUAUUUUUUAAAUUUUUUAUUACACACUUUAGCCGACGAAUAUCUUAUUGUUUCGUCGGCUAAAGUCUGGGAAAAAAACCGACGACAUGUUUUUCGUCGGCUAAACUAUGGGACUAUAACCGACGACGUCUUCUUUUUUCGUCGGCUAAAGUCAUCGCCGAAGACCUUUUCCCGACGAAAUCUUAGCCGACGAAUUAAGCUAACAGGCUGACGAAACUUUUUCAUUGGCUAAAGUGCUUGUCCUGGUAGUGACCACUACUAAAAUAUGCAUUAUCUCGACAUGCAUACAGAUUCACAUCAAACUCUAAUGUAUCAUAAAAAUGUCAUGAAGAACGACCAAAUUAAAUUCACCAGAUUUAGAUAUAGCAUAUGAUCAUUAAACAAAACCAGUGUUGCCUGUGUUUAUCCCAAUUUCUGAAACACUGUUAUGCAUGGCAUUGGUAGUACCUCUGGCUGUCCUCAACUUCUUUAUCAGACUGGACUGACUGGGUUCAUACAUAAUGACCAUUUUCUUCAACUUAUGAGCAUGCUCAAGCAUGUACAUUGCUAACUCAAAUCCGUUGGACCCAUACGUAAGCUGUAUGAUUACCUAGCCUCUAGCUCAGAAAUAAAAUCAAGGUCUUGGAGUUCCCAGUAUGUCCUAUCAAAUCCAGAUCCCUAGAUAAUGAACAAACAAGCAAAUUUAAUCAGAAACGUUAAAACUAAAAUAAAAG
rnacentral:lncRNA from 1 species